rnacentral:rRNA from 1 species
UACGUAGGGUGCGAGCGUUGUCCGGAAUUACUGGGCGUAAAGAGCUCGUAGGUGGUUUGUCGCGUUGUCCGUGAAAACUCACAGCUUAACUGUGGGCGUGCGGGCGAUACGGGCAGACUGGAGUACUGCAGGGGAGACUGGAAUUCCUGGUGUAGCGGUGGAAUGCGCAGAUAUCAGGAGGAACACCGGUGGCGAAGGCGGGUCUCUGGGCAGUAACUGACGCUGAGGAGCGAAAGCGUGGGGAGCGGACAGG